AACACCCAACCAAGGCAUAGGACUCCCAGGCCCCCGGAGAGAGUCUAAUUUCAUUGGUCUGGGGCAGUCUGGGGCGUGGAGAUGUUUUUUAAAGUUCCCUAGCCUUUUUUUCAAACUUGGCCACACCUGAGAGUCCCCUGAGGCAUUAUUUGUUUGUUUGUUUGUUCUUUAUUGACAGAGUUGAUUUACAAUAUUGUGAUAGUUUCAGGAAACAGAACCAGGAGUGACCAGCGAGGCCCAGCCCAGUGGCAGAGCUGAGAUCUCUGUGACCGGCAGAGGGUCCCUGGCUGAGAGAGGGUACCGGUUGCCUUCUGCCUGCCUGCCCCAGGCAAGGAUGAGCUCUCCCCUGAGGGGGAUCCAUAGCCCGUGCUAGCAGUGGGCUAGCAGACCACCCGGCACUCUGAAUCCUGGGACCGCCCCACCCCACCCCAUGCACUGCUGGUCACUGGGAGCACUCAAGACAGGAAGAACUCACCACUCAGAGACAGCUGAGCGGCCCACAUGACUCCCCAAGGAAGAAUUUGUUCUCUGAGGUCAUGGCCAAUGCAGAGUCCCUUUGGGGUCACAGAGGGAAACUUAUCACCCAAUAGACCCAUCUUACCCAUAACUCAGGACUCCUCCCAGCUGGCGGGUCCGGGAUGUGAGCUGUUAUGCACGUGGGAAGAACUGCAGAGGCAGAGUCUAGCACUUGCAUAUGCAAGUCCUGUUGAUUCUUCCCCUAAGCACCCGCCAGUGGCCCUCUGCUUUCCACCAGCACCAUCCUGGCCUCAAUUCAGACCCUCUGACCUGGACCCUUGUGAGGAUGAACUGGCCUCCAGGCCACCUUCUCUGCUUUGACCUCAGACUGCUCCAAUUCUCCCUUAAACUUUAAAACCUCCGUUGGUUCCCUGCCAUGGUGUAGGCACAUGAGAACCUGCCUGGCUAGACCCCUGCAGCUUUUUCCAUGCCUGCCUCCUUCCCAGACACAUCCCCUACACGCCCGUAAGAUCUGGCCACCUUCUCUCCUGCUCUUUUCCAUCUCUGCUCACCCUGGUCCCCCUGCCUGGAAUGUCCUUCCUACUUGUCUAUUUAGUAAAGACCUACUCCAGUGCCACCUCCUGGGCACCAUGCCUUCUUUCCACCUCAUCAGGCACACUCAUCCAUUCAACAAGUAUUUCCUGAACACCUACUUGCUGGAAAUCAGAACAGUGUGUAGGACGGUUGAGGAGCUGCCCUGGGGGAGCUCCCACUGGCCUGGGUGAGACUAUGAGAGAGACACCCGCGUGCACUGUAAUUUCAGAGUCUCCAAGGUGCAGGGCUGGUCUCAGUGACCUCACUGAGGACGUGCCACAUAGGUGGCAACGUGAAAGAAACCCUCCCUCUGCGUUUCUGAGCACUUUGCCUUCUUUAUGGAGUCUCCUAUCUGCUGCCUGACUUAGAGAUCAGAAUAUUGUGUGAAACACACGCUAAAAAAUUGUGCUUUGUUUCUCUGAAAUCCCAGUUUAGCUGGCUGUCCUGUGUUGAAUCAGACAGGCCUACUCCUAAGGUCUCCCUGCCCCGUGAGAUCUGGGAACGUGAACUCUCGUACCUUCAGGGCCCAGCACUGUGGCUGGUUGUAUUAAUAGUAGACACUCAACAGUGAAGGAUCCAGCAGCAGCACUCACGACCCUCGAUGGCCUAUUUUACUUGCACAGAGUCUCCUGGACUCAGUAACCUCCUCCGCAGUGGGGGCGACGCUGGAUACUGUCCUCUGUGCCUAGUGCAGGGCCUGGCUAGACACAGCCCAGGGGACCUGGGGACCUUUAGCUGCCCUCCUACCGUCUCCACCCAUGGCUCCUUCCC
ensembl:lncRNA